AGCCGUGAAAUAUAACCACGAGGAAUCCUAUCACAAGAGUAGGAAGUUUCUUCCCCUACUCUACUGCCCUUGCCCAGCGCAAACAGUAAAUACACAUAACAACUUACUCUCUCUGUCAUCACUUCUUUUUCUAUUUUUGGGUGUAGAUUAGAAGUGCAAAAUGUGGAAGAAGCUCCAUUCUCUAACUCCACUCUCGACCAACCUCCUCCACCGCGGCAGCGCUUCAGUACCUUAUCCUUCCGCCACCACCGCCGACCCCUUUUCUUCCGAAAUCACUUCCAAACGAAGUUCCCUCUCGCAAUUUUCCUCUCUUCUGUUAUCUCCUCCCCAAUUCCAAAUAGAAGGAAAUUAUUGUUAUUCUUUUCAUUCUCCUCCGUCUUCUAGAGUUUUCCAAACCCCGAGACUCCAUUCAGGGCUCCACGGUCUAAACUCCGGUUUCUUCUGCUCGAUUGCAAGUUCUCCUGCGGCCAAUUCAAAGUGCUGGAAUUGUAAUGCUGUUGCAUCCAGUGCGGUGCCGUUUUUGGUUUGUCACGGUUGUCGCAGCGUCCAACCUCCUGAUCCUUCCAUUGAUUACUUCCAGAUUUUAGGAGUGGAGAAGAAAUACGAUGUCAAGGUCGAAAAUUUGGAGGGCAAGUACAAAGAUUGGCAGAAGAAGCUGCAUCCUGAUCUUGUUCACACCAAAUCCAAGAAAGAACGGGACUUUGCUGCUGAACAAUCUGCGCGGGUGACUGAUGCUUAUCGGACCCUCAGCGACACAUUGUCAAGAGCUGUGUACCUUCUGAAGCUUGAAGGUCUGGAGGUGGACGAAGAGGGCAGGAUUUCAGACCCUGAGUUACUUGCUGAGAUCAUGGAAAUUAGAGAAGCUGUUGAAGAAGCAGCAGAGACACAGGCAUUAAAUCACAUUCAGGCACAGAUAUGGAAAAAACUGGAACAUUGGUCUAAGUCCUUCGCAGAUGCAUUUCAGAGUAGAAAGUAUGAAGAAGCGAUAUCUUCAAUCCAGAGAAUGACAUACUACAAGCGGGCAAAUGAGGAGAUCAUUAAGAAGCUCUAACACAGCUAUGUCAAGAUAGUCAUGUUUUUGCAAAGGUACUCAGUCAUACUAGACCAGACCAAGAAUUUCUGAUAUCCCUGAUGCAAGAAAGGAGUAUACUUUUCUAGAAGGUGUCAUUACUGCGGUGAUGCUUCGACUAAACGCUCAACCAAAUGACUUGGUGGCCAGAAACACAAUCGAGUGGCUUGUGUGAUCAAAUUUUGUGAAGAGACCACAUUUAUCUAUUAGUCUGGGACUUGACGACCGCCAGCUUUCUGCUGCUGCUGCUGUAUAAACCUUAUUGCCUGAUUGUGUCAUAGAUGAACGACAUGUCACUAAGAGUUGCUUCCAGAUUGUAGUAAGAAAAGGCUUUGUACAUUAUAUUCCUGGUGGACUAAACUGGAUUGGCAGAAUAAAUCUCUUAAGCUUUGCUCUUUUAACAACAAAAGACGAAAUUUGGUGAAGCCUGUCGUCGAAAACAAUCAGGGACAAUUUUAAUCUUCACAAUUGUCCAAUUAAUAUUGUAUUACUAAGGAACAUAUGCGAAGUGACUUAAAUG